ACAGGGAUGGCCCUAGUAACGGCGAGUGAAGCGGCAACAGCUCAAAUUUGAAAUCUGGCGCAAGCCCGAGUUGUAAUUUGUAGAGGAUGCUUCUGGGUAGCGACCGAUCUAAGUUCCUUGGAACAGGACGUCAUAGAGGGUGAGAAUCCCGUAUGUGACCGGCCCGCACCCUUUACGUAGCUCCUUCGACGAGUCGAGUUGUUUGGGAAUGCAGCUCUAAAUGGGAGGUAAAUUUCUUCUAAAGCUAAAUACCGGCCAGAGACCGAUAGCGCACAAGUAGAGUGAUCGAAAGAUGAAAAGUACUUUGGAAAGAGAGUUAAAAAGCACGUGAAAUUGUUGAAAGGGAAGCGCCUGCAACCAGACUUCGCGGCAGUGUUCCGCCGGUCUUCUGACCGGUUCAUUCUCUGUCGCGAGGCCAUCAUCGUCUGGGCCCGCCGGAUAAGACCUGAGGAAUGUGGCUCCCCCUCGGGGGAGUGUUAUAGCCUCUGGUGAUGCGGCGUGGCUCGGGCGAGGUCCGCGCUUCGGCAAGGAUGAUGGCGUAAUGGUUGUCGGCGGCCCGUCUUGAAACACGGACCAAGGAGUCUAACAUCUAUGCGAGUGUUCGGGUGUCAAACCCCUACGCGUAAUGAAAGUGAACGGAGGUGGGAACCGCAAGGUGCACCAUCGACCGAUCCUGAUGUCCUCGGAUGGAUUUGAGUAAGAGCAUAGCUGUUGGGACCCGAAAGAUGGUGAACUAUGCCUGAAUAGGGUGAAGCCAGAGGAAACUCUGGUGGAGGCUCGCAGCGGUUCUGACGUGCAAAUCGAUCGUCAAAUUUGGGUAUAGGGGCGAAAGACUAAUCGAACCAUCUAGUAGCUGGGUUCCUGCGAA
rnacentral:rRNA from 1 species